rnacentral:rRNA from 1 species
CAUGCCGUAAACGUUGGGAACUAGAUGUAGGGACCAUUCCACGGUUUCUGUGUCGCAGCUAACGCAUUAAGUUCCCCGCCUGGGGAGUACGGCCGCAAGGCUAAAACUCAAAGGAAUUGACGGGGGCCCGCACAAGCGGCGGAGCAUGCGGAUUAAUUCGAUGCAACGCGAAGAACCUUACCAAGGCUUGACAUAUACGAGAACGGGCCAGAAAUGGUCAACUCUUUGGACACUCGUAAACAGGUGG